rnacentral:rRNA from 1 species
UGGGGAAUAUUGGACAAUGGGCGAAAGCCUGAUCCAGCCAUGCCGCGUGUGUGAAGAAGGUCUUCGGAUUGUAAAGCACUUUAAGUUGGGAGGAAGGGCAGUAAGCGAAUACCUUGCUGUUUUGACGUUACCGACAGAAUAAGCACCGGCUAACUCUGUGCCAGCAGCCGCGGUAAUACAGAGGGUGCAAGCGUUAAUCGGAAUUACUGGGCGUAAAGCGCGCGUAGGUGGUUCGUUAAGUUGAAUGUGAAAGCCCCGGGCUCAACCUGGGAACUGCAUCCAAAACGGGCGAGCUAGAGUAGGGCAGAGGGUGGUGGAAUGUCCUGUGUAGCGGUGAAAUGCGUAGAUAUAGGAAGGAACAGCAGUGGCGAAGGCGACCACCUGGGCUCAUACUGACACUGAGGUGCGAAAGCGUGGGGAGCAAACAGG